rnacentral:rRNA from 1 species
AACGAACGCUGGCGGCAUGCCUAACACAUGCAAGUCGAACGAGACCUUCGGGUCUAGUGGCGCACGGGUGCGUAACGCGUGGGAACCUGCCUUUAGGUUCGGAAUAACUCAGAGAAAUUUGAGCUAAUACCGGAUGAUGUCUUCGGACCAAAGAUUUAUCGCCUUUAGAUGGGCCCGCGUUGGAUUAGCUAGUUGGUGGGGUAAAGGCCUACCAAGGCGACGAUCAAUAGCUGGUCUGAGAGGAUGAUCAGCCACACUGGGACUGAGACACGGCCCAGACUCCUACGCGAGGCAGCAGUGGGGAAUAUUGGACUAUGGGCUAAAGCCUGAUCCACCUAGGCCGCUUGAGUGAUGAAGGCCUUAGGGUUGUAAAGCUCUUUUACCCGAGAUGAUAAUGACGGUAUCGGGAGAAUAAGCUCCGGCUAACUCCGUG